CCAAAAACUGGUAAAGUAACUUCUAUGAAGUUUUUACAAAAUGCUUUUGACUGGUUGUCAGCUCUCCCGGGAUAUGCUGGUUGUCUGAAAAACAGAGGACGUCUGGCAGAAGUGGCUUAAACUCGACACUCUACCAGGCACAUACAGGACCAUUCCAGAACAAUAGGGCCUAUUGGCCUGAGGUUUUUAGGAAGACAAAACACUGAUUACUGUACCUCUCUCCUGCUCUCCAGCUUACCUGAGCUGUCUCUGAAUUACAUUAGCAUGGGAUCUGCGCCCUGUGGUUCUGUGCUAUCCUUCCAGUUUCUCCAUGUUUGGACAGGAAAGAUGCUCAUCCAUAUGCUUGUCUUUCCCAAAUUCCUCAUAGAUUGGGUCAAGUUAGAGUCCAGUUUAGAUGUAGUUUUCAUUUCUGUUAGAGGAAAAGUACAAUAGAGCUGUCAGUGUCCCAACCAUGGAACGAAAUGUGUUGGCUGACAGUACAGCCAGCUGAGUUUGUGAUGUCACAAUGGAGGAGAGUCCUCUGGCCAGCUACUGGUUGGCUGUGGAAUUGGACAGAGCUGAUAUGACAUCACAGAAACUAAACUGGCCAUUUGUUACACCAUUAUUGCAAUCUUGUGGUAGGGAAACUUAGAUUAUGCAAAUGUCUGCAUAAUCUUAUAAUCUUAAAGUUUGUGACCUGUGUGUUCACAUUAUGUGAUUGCUAACAUUGUGAGCUGUCUAGAUCCCUCCCUGUCUUACAAUCUCCAGAUGUCAUGGACCGCCUCCUACUGGGGCUGCAGAAGAGCAACAGAGAACAAGUUGCUAGUUGCACUGUUGGCACUCCACCAGGGUGAAAAUGUAACGUUCACAUGCUCACUACAUGUGACCUUAUGUCUUGGUCAAAGCCUACAGUGUUUUGUGAAUUAGCUGCAAUCACAGAAAUGUGUCGUGACUCACAGCAUUUUGAAUAGCAUUUGUUUAGGAAGAGUAAACGCUGUUAAUAAUGCUCCUGUUGUCUUUUUCCAGGCCAGAUGGUGUGAAAAUAUUUUAAAUAAACCUUGUUACGUGAAAAAAAAUCACAAAGGUUUUGCUAGUACAUUUCAUGUUCUUAACCUUUCUGUGAUAUAUCUGUAUGCCUAGUAGAACACGAUUCACAGAAUAUACUUGAAUUUUGAUUUGUUUGACAUUUUAUUGGUUUCAACAUGAUUCCAUAUGUGUUAUUUUAUAGUUUUGCUGUUUC
ensembl:lncRNA